rnacentral:rRNA from 1 species
AUGGGGCGGCCGCCGAGCAGCGGGGGGCCCGCGUUCCGGUUCACGCACGCGGAGGUGGCGGAGAUGGAGGAGCACCUCCGCCACCUCAACAACGCCAUCCCGCAGCGCAACGUCAUCCAGGGCCUCGCCGAGAAGUUCACCGCCUCCGCCGCCCGCGCCGGCAAGAUCCCCGUCCAGUACAAGCAGGUCUGGAACUGGUUCCAGAACCGGAGGUACUCGCAGCGGGCCAGGACCCCCAGGGGCGCGCCGCCGCCGCAGGGGAAGAUGCUGCCCACGGGGGCCGAGGAACACCACCCGGCCUCCUUCAGGGCUCAGGGGUCGUCCUCUUCGUACCCCGGAUCCCACUCAGGAAAGAGUGCUUCGGAUGGUGGCCAGGCCGAGUUUGAAGCAAAGUCAGCUAGAGAUGGCGCGUGGUACGAUGUUGCUGCCUUUCUGUCCCACAGGCUCUUUGAAACAGGGGAUCCGGAAGUAAAAGUUCGAUUUUCUGGAUUUGGGCCCGAGGAGGAUGAAUGGAUUAAUGUUCGUAAAUGUGUGAGGCUGCGUUCUCUUCCAUGUGAAGCUGCAGAAUGUGUUGCUGUGCUUCCUGGGGAUCUCAUUCUUUGUUUUCAGGAAGGCAAAGAGCAGGCCCUCUAUUUUGACGCUCGUGUUCUUGAUGCUCAAAGGCGCAGGCAUGAUGUAAGAGGGUGCCGCUGCAGGUUUCUUGUUCGUUAUGAUCAUGAUCACUCUGAGGAGAUUGUUCCUCUGAGGAAGGUAUGCCGUCGACCAGAAACUGAUUUCAGGCUCCAGAUCUUGCACGCAUCUAGAGCGGCGGCAUCUGCAGAUGCUCAGAAUGUUAGCCCAGUUGAGCAGAAACCCCAAAAGGCACACAAGAUGAUGGAUGUGAACACUGCCGAGGUGACCGUGGUCCGCAACCCAGAUCAAGGAGGGCCAUCUGACAAGCCGGCUGCUCCCUUGCCAGCUGCGCCUGCUGGCACCCACGGUGAUUCAGUUUCAGAUGUGCAGAUGGGGAGCGUGGAGGUUAUUCCAAAAGUUGAAGCCGCAAAUGAAGCACAUGACGACAAGAUGAACGUGGGAGCAUAG